GUCACACUGCACUAGAGCUGGAAGGAGUGGGAGCGGUCGGAGGCUGAGCGCCUGCCCUGCAGAUGGGAAAUAAGAACACACGCACGACCCAGGGCUAGCCAUACACUUCCGGAGCACGAUGCAGGGCAGCAGGCUGGCGGCCUUGGCACCAGGCUCCGAAUCACACACUGACUCAGGUCAGGGCCUGUGUCACUCAUCUGCCAAAGCCCAGCGUGGCACAGCAGCUCAUCGGGGUGGAGAGUUGAUGAAUCCUGGAUGAUUCAACCAUCAUCAACAUCUAGGGUGGGUUGCUGAGUGAAAGCAUGGUAGCUGAGGACAAAGAAAUUUUCCUGUUUUGAAAAAAGUGUCCAGGAAAAGCUGCAGGCCACUCCGAAGUCCCAGGGAGCUGAAUAUUUUGUAAGUUACCCCACUAGAGGAGGAAAGACAGGAGGCAUCCAGGCCUGUGUGGAGGCUCAGGUAACAGGCCCCAGACCUCAGACCUGAACUCAGGAAGUAGCAGUGGGGACAAGAACAGGAGCAUCUAUUCCGAUCAGGCGUUUGGGAGGCAGGGACGUCGCAUCUGGUCGCCAAGCAAAUGCGGAAGGAGGGUGAGGGUAAGGGAACCCCAGGAACAAAGCAGGGCGACACUGAGAGUGUUGAGGCCCUGACUGAGAGAGAGGGCAGGAAACAGCGCUGACAGGCGGUUGACUUUGUCUGGCACAUGUCAGGUUUGAGGCGCAGCAUAGGAAUUUUUCUUUUCACUUGCAAAAUAAUUUCAUAUAAAGUUCGUCUCUCAGGACCCCACUGGCCAUCCUAGGGUGGCUUGGAAGGAGAGCCUGCUUGGGCAUUAAGAUCGGAGGUGCGGGAUUCAACCUACAGGUCACACCCUCUCCCCACCUCUGUGUUCUCCGGGGUCCAUUCUAAGGGUCACCUGAGGUCGCUGAGGACCCUGGGGCUGCCGCUUGGUUGCCUACGAGUGCGGCGAGGCCCAGGUACCUAUGGAGGGCAUUGCCUGGUCGGCGCCCCUGGGAAGUCUUUGCUCAGUCCCCUCGCGGUUACCG